rnacentral:rRNA from 1 species
GAUUGGUGAGCGCCCCCCGGACGAUACCAAACUCUGAUUUUACGACGUUUCUUCUGAGUGGUACAAGCAAAUAAUCAAAACUUUUAACAACGGAUCUCUUGGUUCUGGCAUCGAUGAAGAACGCAGCGAAAUGCGAUAAGUAAUGUGAAUUGCAGAAUUCAGUGAAUCAUCCAAUCUUUGAACGCACAUUGCGCCCGCCAGCAUUCUGGCGGGCAUGCCUGUUCGAGCGUCAUUUCAACCCUCAAGCUCUGCUUGGUGUUGGGGCCCUACCGCUGAUGUAGGCCCUCAAAGGUAGUGGCGGACCCUCCCGGACCCUCCCUUAGGAACUAACUUUACGUCACGGACUGGGAUCCGGAGGGAUGCUUGCCGAAACCCCCUAUUUACAAAUGCCUACCACCGAGC